rnacentral:rRNA from 1 species
UACGGAGGUCCCAAGCGUUGUUCGGAUUCACUGGGCGUAAAGGGCGCGUAGGUGGUCAGGUAAGUCGGAUGUGAAAUCUCCGAGCUCAACUCGGAAACUGCAUUGGAAACUACCUGGCUCGAGGGUUGGAGGGGGGACUGGAAUGCUUGGUGUAGCAGUGAAAUGCGUAGAUAUCAAGCGGAACACCAGUGGCGAAGGCGAGGCCCUGGACAGCUCCUGACACUGAUGCGCGAAAGCUAGGGGAGCAAACAGG